UUACGCUUUCUAGUCCGCUCUGUGGACUGCGACCGAGCCUCCAAGUCCCACCAAUCAAAAGCUCGGCCCCUGUGUGCUCCCCUCACACACGGCAACCUGUCACCUAGUUUCUAAAAACUAGAGAUCCCAUUACCACCCGCGCUUCAAUUCCUGUCCAAUCAGAGGAGGAGUUGGCGUCUUCCGCCGUCCCAGCAUCCCUCGCGGCCCGUUUCCUGUUCCAUGUUCUUCAAUUGUAACAACGCUGGCUUUUCGCUUUUGUCUAGGCCUCUCCAUUACAGCCUUAUGGGUGUCGCACUCUUAUAGAGGGGAAAAUGCCGCUUGUCGGAGGUCUGUACAGAGCUUGGGAUCCCAGCAUGAGUCAUACAUGAGGAAGAUGGCGGUAGAUGUAGUUCUGUAGCAGCGUGUGUUCAUUCAUUGUUUAUUGUCCUGUGUGUAGUUUAGCCCAGUCCGGGGGCAGGCAUCUUUGGCCUCUCAUGUCUCUAUACACUAUGUUUCCUCAUCCUUAGGGACCCGGUGUUGUCUGACUCCAAAUACAAAGGCCACAAGUAUAUUGUUGAGUAUUUAUCAUGUAACGUCCAACCUGCAGCCUUCUUCUGUCACAGGCCACGGGGAGUUGGAGUUCAACACCUACAGAGCUUCAUGGGCUUGUUCACCUAUCGUCUAACUUUUAGUAUAACAUAGAGAGGGAUAUUCUGAGAUAAUUUGUAAUUGGUUUUUGAUUUAUUUAGAUUUUUAUUCAGCAGCUUUCUAGUUUGUAAUUUCAGCCAUCUGGUUGCUAGGGUCCAAAUUCCCCUAGUAACCACGAACUGAAUGGAAUAAGGGACUGGGAUAUGAAUAGGAGAGGCCUGAAUAGAAAGGAAAUGAAAAGUAACAAUACAUUUGUAGCCUUACAGAGCUGUUGUUUUUUAGAAGGGGUCAGUGACCCCCAUUUGAUAGCUGGAAAAAGUCAGAAGAAGAAGGCAAAUAAUUAAACUAUAACUAAUGAAAAAAAAUGCUUAGAAUUGGCCAUUCUAUAACACACUAAAAGUUAAUAUAAAGGUGAUGCACUCCAUUUAAGUCUUUUGGCCAAUUCAGAUGUCAGAUUUUGAGGGACAGGUUAUACAUUAGGCAGAUGGCCAGUUGCGGGUGUUGACUUUCCCCUCCAGUAUUGGCCACUUUGUUCCUCUGAGAAGACUACAUGUAUACAGGCCGUCAUCCUGCAGAUUUAAGGGAAACUGAAGGCUUGUCUCCUGGAGCUUUAUGGCUGGGCAACUGAAGAAGUCUUCCUUGUGUAAAGGGUAAAAAAGACCCCUGUGAUAUGGUCAACUGAUCCUGCUUGGAAGAAGUCUCCCUUAUGUAAAGGGUAACAGUGAUAUAAAAGACCCCUAUGAUAUGGACUCCUUAUAUCACUCUCCCAUUGUCCGACAUUUGCAGCAAUUGUGGCCAAAUUCUUCUCUCUGGCUGACAUCAAUCUAAUCUCCCAGGGUCCAAGUGUAGUUUGUCCAGAUAACCAAGUCCAGCCCUGCGAGGUAUCACUAAUCAACUAAAGCAAAGGCUUAAUAAAAACUUGUCCAACUAAA